rnacentral:lncRNA from 1 species
UCUUUGGGAGUGGGGGAUUCCAGACAGUCUGCCUCUUAACAGCUCUGAGGGAAAAACAUUUAGUCUCACCUUUGUAAAGAAUCUACGAUAUUUAAUUAAUUUGACAGUAAAUUUACAAAAGAUUUUAGUUAUAAGGUAAAGGUUUUCCCCUGACAUUAGUUACGUCCAACUCUGGGGGUUGACGCUCAUCUCCAUUUCUAAGCCAAAGAGCUGCCGUUGUCCAAGGCCAUGUGGCCGACAUGACUCCAUGGAGCGCCGUUACCUUCCCAUCGGAGCGAUACCUAUUGAUCUACUCAUAUUUGCAUGUUUUUUUUAUAUUGAGUAUAUUUUUAUUGAAGUUUUACCUUAUAAGAUAGAGUAAAUUAACAUCAAAAGAGUGAGAACAUUUGCUUGUAUAGAAAGUAGGAAAACUGUGAUUAAAAAAGGAUCAAAAAGAGAGAAAGAGAGAAAAAAACCAAAAACCAAAAACAAAGCUAAAGUGUCCAUAUAUAUAUACACUAGCUAUGCCCGGCCACGCGUUGCUGUGGCGUUGUCUGGUGGUGUUGGUGAGAACUUGUUGAGGUAGUAGUGGUAUUAAAUGUCUGUUGUAUGGUUGUUGUAUGUUUAGUAUGCAUUUGGUUGUUUGUGUAUUGUGAAAGUGGUGAGGAUAGAGGGGGUCUAUGUCCCUGUGUAGUAUUGUAUAGUAUUUAUACGUUGUCCAUGUUUAGUAUGCAUUUGGUUGUUUGUGUACUGUGAAAGUGGUGAGGAUAGAGGGGGUCUAUGUCCCUGUGUAGUAUUGUAUAGUAUUUAUACGUUGUCCAUGUGUUGUGAAUGCUUGGAUUGUGUCCUGCUGCAUAGUAGAAAGGGUUGGGCUGGAUGGCCCUUAGGGGUCUCUCCAAACUCUUGUGCCUGUCCCCUGGGCUUAGUGGGUUGCUAGGAGACCAAGUGGGUGGAACUUAGCCUUGUAACUGGAAGCAACUGGAUAAAAACAAUUAUUCCUCUCCCUCUAAUUAGGACUUUAUUUUUCUUUUCUUUUUGUUGUAUCAACCUAGAGCC